AAGAGAUUGUAAAGUGAUUUAGCACUCUUCUUACUACCAUAAAUUUAAGCAGCCUAAACGAUGCAAGCGAUCGUACAGAUUUCUGUGUUGGCGGUGACACUAUGGUUGAUGGUUUCUUCUGCAACGGGAUGUUAUACAUCAAACUGCGGAGCAUGCGACAGACGCCUGUGCCCAUACAUUAACAAUUGCAAAUGCGGGUACUAUAUGGACUACUGUGGCUGCUGUCCUGUUUGUUACAGG